GGGGCCAUGGCUCAGUGGAAGAGUAUCUGCUGUACAUGCAGAAGUUCCCCAGUUCAAUCCCAGGCAUUUCCA
rnacentral:tRNA from 1 species